UCAAAAAAAAAAUCGAAAAAAAAAUUUGAUUGAAAAAAAAACAAAAAAAUUCGAAGUAUAAAAAAAAAGAGUGAAAAGUCUUGUGAGUUUUAUUUUGUUAUUAUUUCUUGUUACUUCCGAGCAUCCAUUCCUUCUACCCUCCAAAAAAAAAAUGCCACACAUACUUUGAUUUUUUAUUUUUCCUUGUUUCAGCCUACCCUAUACACCCU
rnacentral:lncRNA from 1 species